rnacentral:rRNA from 1 species
AAGUUACGCUAAUACCGCAUAUUCUGUGAGCAGGAAAGCAGGGGAUCGCAAGACCUUGCGCUGAUUGAGCGGCCGAUAUCAGAUUAGCUAGUUGGUGAGGUAAAGGCUCACCAAGGCGACGAUCUGUAGCGGGUCUGAGAGGAUGAUCCGCCACACUGGAACUGAGACACGGUCCAGACUCCUACGGGAGGCAGCAGUGGGGAAUUUUGGACAAUGGGGGCAACCCUGAUCCAGCCAUGCCGCGUGAGUGAAGAAGGCCUUCGGGUUGUAAAGCUCUCUCAGCCGGGAAGAAAACGCAUGGGUUAAUACCCUGUGUGGAUGACGGUACCGGAAUAAGAAGCACCGGCUAACUACGUGCCAGCAGCCGCGGUAAUACGUAGGGUGCGAGCGUUAAUCGGAAUUACUGGGCGUAAGGCGUGCGCAGGCGGUUUGUUAAGAUAGGCGUGAAAUCCCCGGGCUCAACCUGGGAACUGCGUUUAUGACUGGCAGGCUAGAGUAUGGCAGAGGGGGGUGGAAUUCCACGUGUAGCAGUGAAAUGCGUAGAGAUGUGGAGGAACACCGAUGGCGAAGGCAGCCCCCUGGGCCAAUACUGACGCUCAUGCACGAAAGCGUGGGUAGCAAACAGGAUUAGAUACCCUGGUAGUCCACGCCCUAAACGAUGUCAACUAGGUGUUGGGUGGGUAAAACCAUUUAGUACCGGAGCUAACGCGUGAAGUUGACCGCCUGGGGAGUACGGCCGCAAGGUUAAAACUCAAAGGAAUUGACGGGGACCCGCACAAGCGGUGGAUGAUGUGGAUUAAUUCGAUGCAACGCGAAAAACCUUACCUACCCUUGACAUGUCCGGAAGCCCUUAGAGAUUUGGGUGUGCUCGAAAGAGAGCCGGAACACAGGUGCUGCAUGGCUGUCGUCAGCUCGUGUCGUGAGAUGUUGGGUUAAGUCCCGCAACGAGCGCAACCCUUGUCGUUAAUUGCCAUCAUUUAGUUGGGCACUUUAACGAGACUGCCGGUGACAAACCGGAGGAAGGUGGGGAUGACGUCAAGUCCUCAUGGCCCUUAUGGGUAGGGCUUCACACUUCAUACAAUGGUCGGUACAGAGGGUUGCCAGCCCGCGAGGGGGAGCUAAUCCCAGAAAGCCGAUCGUAGUCCGGAUUGUAGGCUGCAACUCGCCUGCAUGAAGUCGGAAUCGCUAGUAAUCGUGGAUCAGCAUGUCACGGUGAAUACGUUCCCGGGUCUUGUACACACCGCCCGUCACACCAUGGGAGCGGGUUCCGCCAGAAGUAGGUAGCCUAACCGCAAGGAGGGCGCUUACCACGGCGGGGUUCGUGACUGGGGUGAAGUCGGAACAGGGUA